rnacentral:rRNA from 1 species
CCUACGGGGGGCAGCAGUGGGGAAUAUUGGACAAUGGGGGGAACCCUGAUCCAGCCAUGCCGCGUGUGUGAAGAAGGCCCGCGGGUUGUAAAGCACUUUCAGGGAGGAAGAACGCCUGGUGGUUAAUACCCAUCAGGAAAGACAUCACUCACAGAAGAAGCACCGGCUAACUCCGUGCCAGCAGCCGCGGUAAUACGGAGGGUGCGAGCGUUAAUCGGAAUUACUGGGCGUAAAGCGCGCGUAGGUGGCUUGAUAAGCCGGUUGUGAAAGCCCCGGGCUCAACCUGGGAACGGCAUCCGGAACUGUUAAGCUAGAGUGCAGGAGAGGAAGGCAGAAUUCCCGGUGUAGCGGUGAAAUGCGUAGAGAUCGGGAGGAAUACCAGUGGCGAAGGCGGCCUUCUGGACUGACACUGACACUGAGGUGCGAAAGCGUGGGUAGCAAACAGGAUUAGAUACCCGGGUAGUC